rnacentral:lncRNA from 1 species
GGCUGCCUACAGCACCACCAUAGGAGAGACGGAAGUGAGUUCUUCUGCAGCACCCCAGAGCCGGCCUGCAGUCAGGGAGGUCUCCCAGAGGCAUCCACGAAGCUGCCUGCCAACCUGGGUGCCCCAGGCAUGGGCCCCUGUAAGCCUGCCCUAGGAGGAGAACAGUUUGUGUGACACAGGGGGCCGAGGCUGGGUCUGAAUCUUUUUUUUUUUUUUUUUUUUUUUGAGACAGAGUCUCACUCUGUCACCCAGGCUGGAGUGCAGUGGUGCAAUCUCAUCUCACUGCAACCUCCGCCUCCCAGGUUCAAGCAAUUCUCCUGCCUCAUCCUCCCUAGUAGCUGGGAUUACAGGUGUGCACCAUCACACCUGGCUAAUUUUUGUAUUUUUAGUAGAGAUGGGGUUUCUCCAUAUUGGGCAGGCUGGUCUGAACUCCUGACCUCAGGUGAUUCACCCACCUCAGCCUCUCAAAGUGCUAGGAUUACAAGUGUGAGCCACCGCGCCCGGCUGGGUUUGAGUCUUUAACACUUCCCCUCUGCUCCUGGAGCCCCUCCCAUAGCCAGCCCUUGCUCACCAAGGGGGAACCAGCAGCCCCUUCCUCACCCCUACAUACCCCUCCUGGGGGUUGGGGUCUCUCUCAGCAAUACCAGUGCCAUGAUGCAUCCCUCGUCCUCUCUGCUCCUUUCCCUCAUCUGGAGGCCUAGGCCCAGGCAUCCAGCCAGCCUCCACCCAGCUCCUCUCUCUGCACACAAAGACUGACCUCAUCAAGCUGCACUCCUGAAACACACCAACAAACCAGAAACUCAGUCUCCCCUUUGCCCACAGGAUGCCCACGGGCAAAACUGUCACCAAGAGGAGGAAGGAGGGGCCCAAACCAGCUCUGUCUCUGUGGAGAAAGAGCCUGCCUGCGGCUGGACCCUGGUUGUGUGGCUUCAGGAAUCACAGAUACAACCUAAUGGGAUGCUUUGCACAUGGCCAAAGUGAACAGAAACAUCUGAGUGCAACAGAAAGCAACCCCACAUGCCCUCGGAGACAGGCCUAAGCUCUGCUUAUCCUGAGGGCUCUCCAGCCCUCACAUCCUCCUCCUCUCC